GGUCUCAAACUCCUGACCUUGUGAUUCACCCCUCUCAGCCUCCCAAAGUGCUGGGAUUAUAGACAUGAGCCACUGUGCCUGGUCACCCUUUAAGACUUUUUUUAAAAAAGGAUCUUGGCUGUAAUAUCAUAAGCAGUGCGUUUUAUCUCAAUACCAGCAGAAGGGUAAGCAAAUUGGACAUAGGCAGAAAAAAAUAGAGGACUUAGAAUGCUAACUCUAUAGUUGGAGGGUUUUUUAGAAAGUUGAGAUAAUGACCACUGAGCUCUGAAUUUUCCUUGAUGUAAUUUGCCCAUCAGUUUAAAAAUGUUCAUGAGAACGGGCCAGCUGGAGUCCCAGGAUACCUGGCUUGCCUUCAUGUUUGAGAAUCCCAUUCUGUUUCUUACUAAUCUCUUGAAGGCAAAGAAAAUUCUAUAAAUUCUGUCAGGAAUGUCAGGAGUUUGGACUAGUGUUUUAGAUAGUGGCAACCAUUCUGGUGGCUUUUAAUGAGCCAUCCUGUGUCCAAGAAUGCUUAUUUUUGCUCUUAGAAGAUUUCCAGAAAUGGGAAAGAGCCACAUCAAACAAAAUAUUAAAUUAGAUGCACAGAAAGAACCAAAAGCAAAUUCACUAGAAAAGACAUGACUCAGAGACAGAAUGGAAAUUCUACAGGAAUCAGACACUUGUCUUUAUACCAGAAAGAACUUGGUGGAAAAGACAAAAAGUCUUUUAUCGUCCCAGCUGGGAUGUAAGAUUCUUUAUUAAAGGUGGCCUUAUAACCAAAACAAAUUCCUAUGAAAUCAAAAAGCCUCUAACAAAGAGUGCACCUCAGCCUGAGAGAAGACUCACCAGGGUAGAAAAGAAAGCCACAGAAGCAGAGCUCAAAGGGUUCCAAUGAGAACUAAACACCAGGUCUAAGAAUCACCAGUUCCUUCCAAUUGCAAUCUUUUUCCAGGUUCUGCUCUAGACACUACUUACGUAAACCUAAAUAACAGAGACAGGCUCUGUAACAGAAAGUGGUAUUUAUUUGGGAGUAGGCAUUGCAAUGGGAAUACAUGUGCCAUAGUAAACUUUGAGCAUAUUCAGGGAGGUAAAGGAGGACUGAUAUGGCUAUGCUUUGGGUUCCCACCCAAAUCUCAUCUUAAAUUGUAAUUCCCAAGUGUUGAGGGAGAGGCCUAGUGGAAGGUGAGUGGAUCAUGGGGCAGUUUCUCCCAUGCUGUUCUCAUGGUAGCAAGUGAGUGUUCAUGGGAUCUGAUGGUUUUGUGCUUGGCAUUUCUCCCGCUAGGAAUUCUCUCCCCUGACACCAUGUAAAGAAGGUCCUUGCUUCCCCUUCGCCUUCUGCCAUGAUUGUAAGUUUCCUGAGGCCUCCCCAGCCACGUGGAACUGUGAGUCAAUUAAACCUCUUUCCUUUAUAAAUUAUCCAGCCUCGGGUAUUAUCUUUAUAGCUAUCUGAGAACUAAUACAAGGACAAAUGUUUUUAGAGGGAAAAUUUUAAAGAGGAUCACAUCGUUUUGGGAUAAUUAUUUUGGCUGUAUGAAUCAAUAACAAGGGUGGCACCAGUCUGAGGUUGGACAGACCAGUGAGCGGCUGUCCUUGUGGAAGUAUUUUUUGCUUAAGGGUGCAAUGGCCUUGUUUAAGGUUGUGGGUUUUACAGUCUUUUGUGACAAUUCCUGUUAUCAGACAUUUAUGCAGGAGAACCCUCUCUUCAUGGUCUCCCAGAGCUUCCUCUGUUUGUUAGCGCUUUAACUCAAGCAGCUCAAUUUUGAUUCUGACAAUGUUCACAAGGGUGAACAGAAUCUGGUCUUGAGGAGUGAGAACGGGCUCCCUGAGUGGAAUGACCAAGCCUUGGGUCCCAUGCCUGUGUCCUAUUUCUCUUAAGGGUUCCCAGAUGGUUGUGCAGCUCAGCUGGUGCUAAAGUUGCACUACCUGGUUGGGGUGCCCAACCAUGACACACACCCCAGCAGUGCUUGGUAUUUGAGAUGCUCAGCUGCUAAAUGCCCCACCCCUAGAAGCCCACAGCAAAGCUAUGGUAGACAGGGGCCAGAAUGCUGUCUCCACAUCCCUCCUCCAGCAGGACGAGAGCAGCAAAGUCUGAAGACAGAGAAAAAUGAGAAAAUAAUUCAUUCACAUAUACACCAGGAAAUCAUUACCUCUUCCUGUAAAAUUCUCAGAGCCUACAAGGUUGACUCCAAAUUGAUGUGACACCACAGUGCUGACAGCUUGCUGCUAGCCAGGGAAAGGAAUGGCCACUCGCCCCAACAAUGGGAAGCCGAUUAAUAAGAUUUGGCCCAGCUGAAAUGAUUCUGUGUAUGGCUCUAUUUGCCUAAACAAAGGCAAAAAUACGUGUCUGGUCAUGAGAGAUCACAGAGCCUAGUGGACCCCAAAGGGCACCUUACUCAUUUGCCUGACACCCCCAGUUCCUCCUCAGGGUGGCUGCUGCCUGGGAAAAGCAGAAGUGACUCCCAGGCCCCCUCCGAGCACCCAAUCCCGACAGCAAAGGGACACUCAUUUUCUUCAGAGGCCUGUGCAGCUCAAGAGCCAACCCUGUUGAUGACUCGGGCUGGAGCUGGUGGAAGCCACACAACAGAGUCUUGGAGGGUGAGGAUGGCACCUAGGAAAGGUGUGGGUUGGCCCAAGGGAGAGGAUGGGCCCAGCUGCACCUAUUAUAGGUAUUCGUUGUGACAGAAGCAAGCAGCACUCACCCCACAAGAGCCUCACAGUGUGUGGAAUCAGAGCAGAGAGUAAUGAAUAUGUGAAUUUAUGACAGAGAAACAUGGAAAAUUGUCUCUAAGGAGGCAGAAAAACCUUUUUACUGUUGAUAUCAAGUUUAUUGAGGUAUAAUGUACAUCCAACAAAAUUUUACAUUUUUAACAAAUGGAAAUAGCCAUGUAACUCUCACAAUCAAUACACAGGUUUCUGUCCAAAAAGCUGCCUUGAGCCUGAGCCCAGGCCCCAGACAAUGACCAUCUGCUGCUGAUUCCCUUGGUGCCUGUAGGGUCUGUUAUGAUGACCCUCCUCCAUUCCUGAUCUUGCUCACAUGUGCUGUCUCUUCUCUUGAUCACUCUAGGCUGUAGUUUAUCAAGUUCUCCAAUCUUUUUUUUCUCUGUUGUCUGCUCUUUAUUUCAUCCUUUUUUUCCUCCGUUGUCUGCUCUUUAUUCAUUGAUUUCUGUUCAUUUUUUGUUGACACUUAUUUUUGUGUUAAUUUUGCUCUUCUAUUUCUAGCAUUUUAAGAUGGAACUUUGGUUCAUUGAUUUUAAGCAUUUCUUCUUUUGUAGAUAGGCAUUUAGAGCUAUACGUUUCCCACUAAACAAGUAUUUUUCUAAAUGCUUAAUUGGAGUGAUUAAAAUUUACUCAGAUUCACACA